rnacentral:rRNA from 1 species
AUUACCGAGUGCGGGUCCUUUGGGCCCAACCUCCCAUCCGUGUCUAUUAUACCCUGUUGCUUCGGCGGGCCCGCCGCUUGUCGGCCGCCGGGGGGGCGCCUUUGCCCCCCGGGCCCGUGCCCGCCGGAGACCCCAACACGAACACUGUCUGAAAGCGUGCAGUCUGAGUUGAUUGAAUGCAAUCAGUUAAAACUUUCAACAAUGGAUCUCUUGGUUCCGGCAUCGAUGAAGAACGCAGCGAAAUGCGAUAACUAAUGUGAAUUGCAGAAUUCAGUGAAUCAUCGAGUCUUUGAACGCACAUUGCGCCCCCUGGUAUUCCGGGGGGCAUGCCUGUCCGAGCGUCAUUGCUGCCCUCAAGCCCGGCUUGUGUGUUGGGUCGCCGUCCCCCUCUCCGGGGGGACGGGCCCGAAAGGCAGCGGCGGCACCGCGUCCGAUCCUCGAGCGUAUGGGGCUUUGUCACAUGCUCUGUAGGAUUGGCCGGCGCCUGCCGACGUUUUCCAACCAUUUUUUCCAGGUUGACCUCGGAUCAGGUAGGGAUACCCGCUGAACUUAAGCAUAUCAAUAAGCGGAGGAAAAGAAAACCAACCGGGAUUGCCUCAGUAACGGCGAGUGAAGCGGCAAGAGCUCAAAUUUGAA